UACGAAGGGGGCUAGCGUUGUUCGGAAUUACUGGGCGUAAAGGGCUCGUAGGCGGUGGCGUAAGUCGGGUGUGAAAUCCCUCGGCUUAACCGAGGAACUGCGCCCGAUACUGCGUUGCUUGAGGGUCAAAGGGGUGCAUGGAAUUUCCGGUGGAGCGGUGAAAUGCGUUGAUAUCGGGAGGAACGCCGGCGGCGAAAGCGGUGCACUGGUUGACUUCUGACGCUCAUGUGCGAAAGCCAGGGGAGCAAAUGGG
rnacentral:rRNA from 1 species